GUAAAACCAAACUCAGUCAGUCAAUCAGAGUGCAAAAUAUGACAAUAUCUUCCAGUUUCUACAGUCAAACCAAAAUUACUACAUCGAAAUCUCGAAAGGGUGGAUCUGAGUCUCAAUGCAAUUUA